CUGCCCCUCGCGCCCGCCGGUUCUCCGCGCUCUCCACCCGCCACCCGCCGAGCCUCCCGAGGGGCGCCCGCCCGGCUUCCGCCGCCGCCGCACCUGCAGCCCCGAGAUCCGCGCCCCGCCCGCCACCCGGCCAGCAGAGGGCGCUCGGAGACCUUCGCUCCAGCCCCUCCCUGCGCGGGGAAACUGAGGCCCGAGAGAGCACGGCGGGAUCGCCCCCGCGUCCCGCUCGGGCACACGCGCUGUGGCGCUGCGGCGGAAGGAGGCGGUGGCCACGGGCUGGGCCGCGUGGGCUGGUGCUCCUGUGGAGGCCCUGCUCGUCCUGCGCGCGAGCGCCCGCGGGCCCGGAGCAGCAAGAGCUGCAGGAGCAGGAGCAGGAGCAGGAGCAGGAGCAGCAGCAGGAGCAGCAGCAGGAGCAGGAGGAGCAGCAACAGGAGCAGGAGGAGCAGCAGCAGGAGGAACAGCAGGAGCAGCAGGAGGAGCAGCAGGAGGAGCAGCAGCAGCAGGAGCAGCAGGAGCAGGAGGAGCAGCAGCAGGAGCAGGAGGAGCAGCAGCAGGAGGAGCAGCAGCAGGAGGAGCAGCAGGAGCAGCAGCAGCAGCAGCAGCAGCCACCCCUCCACCCCCCUCGUGCGCGGGUUUGCGCGCUGGUGGGGACGCGGACGCCCGCGCCUGUGCCUGCCCUGGGGGAGCCCGGUCCGUGCACAGGACUCGGGGCUCCGGUGGGGGCGGUGGGCUGCGGCGGAGCGUCCUAGGCCCCCGCGGCCUGACGGCCAGGCUCUCUGCUCGGUUGCCGGCUCGGACCCGAGCAGAGUGAAGCUACGCCUGGGGUCCCGGAAGAUGGAGCCACCCGAGACCUAUAGGACCUGGGUCCUGGAGGGUCAGGGUCCGGCCUCGCUGUCCCAGACAGCAUCAGUGACGCCCAGAGGAAGGAAGCAGCAGCCCCAGACCCUGAAUGCUCCAGGUGCCUUCUUUCCGCCCCUCACUCUGAGCCCUCCGAGCUGCCACCGCGGUCGGUUGAGGCCACCUCGCCGGUGUCUGGCCCUCCCUGUCAUUGCCGGUUCCCGUGGACUCCUCACUGCCUUCCUCCAUCCGUUCUGUCUCUGGGCCAGCCUGGCAUCUGAAAAUCCGCUCCUACCCUGCUCCAGCCUCUGUGCCUUGGCACCGGCCCCCGACCUCACCAACCAGCCGUUUCUUGAAGGUACUGCUCGAUUUUGA
rnacentral:lncRNA from 12 species